rnacentral:lncRNA from 1 species
AGCUUGAGGGCUUGCUGUUAGGUGAGGCCAGUCCCUAGGGUGGGUUGCCUGCCCUGGCUGAACUGGAUUAAAUCUGUGCUCUAGUGGGCGUGGCAGACCCCUGGGGUAACAGGCCAAGGGAUGAACCUCAAUGGCCCCCACCUGGGUCUGUAUCAGCACGCCUGGACCAGCUCAGAACAAUGGCCCCCACCAAUGUCUCAGUCUCUGAAGAGGUCCCUCCUCUCACCAAGAUGCCCCCAGAUCCCACCAGAGCACAGAUCGACUCUCUUUAGAUCAUGGGAAAGCCAGUUUCAACUUUUUCAGUGUGAUCCUGAAGAUUAGCCCUGAGCUAAUCUGUGCCAAUCCUCUAUUCUUUUGUGUAUGGGACACCUCCACAGCAUGGCUGGUGAGUGGAGUAGGUACAUGCCUGGGAUCUGAACUCCUGAACCUGGGCCACUGAAGUGGAGCACACGGAACUUUAACCAAUCAGCCAUGGGGCUGGGCCCAAGGUCAUUACUUUUUGAAUGCUAUAAGUGAACAGAUGACUAUUUUAGAAAUAGGUGACCCUACUCAUUAGAUAUGCAGAUUGAUUUCACUUCUAAGCUUGAGCAAUUAGUAACCUCAAGAAGCAUGUCAGAGUGAUUUCUUCACGCAAAAGGAUGAACUCUCUUGCUUUUAUGCUGCAAUUGUAACAUACUACUUAUUAUUUCAAGGGUCAUUUUCUAAUAUAGAAGAAAUGAUUGAUAAAAUAACUAUUUCAACAGACAUUUAUCACUUACCAAAUAUGUUCCAGACAUUGUUUGAGUUGUAUAUCCAGAGAUAUAAUAAUAAUGAGAUGGGUGACCAAAUACUUCAUCACCAAAAUGAGACUCUUUUGAAAGAGGUGCUGGAAAUAACUAUACCUGAAUAAUAAAUGUGAACUGUAACUAUGGUCACUUAAAUAAAAAGGCAUAGU